rnacentral:rRNA from 1 species
UACGUAGGGAGCAAGCGUUGUCCGGAAUCAUUGGGCGUAAAGCGCGCGUAGGUGGCCUCAUAAGUCCGUUGUGAAAGUCAAAGGCUCAACCUUUGAAAGCCGAUGGAUACUGUGAGACUAGAGUACGGAAGAGGCGAGUGGAAUUCCUGGUGUAGCGGUGGAAUGCGCAGAUAUCGGGAAGAACAUCAGUGGCGAAGGCGGCUCACUGGCCCGGUACUGACGCUGAGGUGCGAAAGCGUGGGGAGCAAACAGG